ensembl:lncRNA
GACCCGGAAAGAGAAACUCGCAGGAAGCAUCUAGCGAGCAGGCGAGGCGGCUGUCUCCUAGGGACUGCAGCACGCCAGGCCUCCCUGUCCAUCACCAACUCCUGGAGUUUACUCAAACUCAUAUCCAUUGCAUCGGUCAUGCCAUCCCACCAUCUCAUCCUCUGUCGUCCUCUUCUCCUGCCUUCAAUCUUUCCCAGGAUCAGGGUCUUUUCCAAUGAGUUGGUUCUUUGCAUCAGGUGGCUAAAGUAUUGGAGGUUCAGCUUCAGCAUCAGUCCUUCCAGUGAAUAUUCAUGACUGAUUUCCUUUAGGAUGGACUGAUUGGAUCUCCUUGCAGUCCAAGGGCCUCUCAAGAGUCUUCUCCAGCACCACAGUUCAAAAGCAUCAAUUCGGCGCUCAAGCUUUAUAGUCCAACUCUCACAUCCAUACAUGACUACUGGAAAAAUCAUAGCUUUGAGUAGAUGGACCUUUGUUAGUCUAUUCAAUUUCUGUUAAAAAGUAGUUCAAAUCUUGUGUGCGUGUAUCUGUAUGUAUCCCUAGGUUUCACGGGGCAGCUCUUAAAAUUUCUGUGUAUGAACAGUAACAUCCUGUGGCAGAUGUAGUAAUUUGUACAACUACUGUGUCAUGUGGAAUUUGUUUUCUCUUCUCUCCCUCGUGACUUCUCUCCUUUAAAAGGAAACCUAUGCAGACAUAUUGUUGGAAUCUUAGACCAAAGUAUGGAGGAAACAAGUGACAUUUAGGACAGUGAAACUGUUGAAGAUCUCUUCCAGCUAAACAGGUGGUUGCUGGCAACCCUGCAAGCAAACAAACUGAAGCCAGGAGGAGAGCACCCAUCCAUGGGGACCAGCCACGACCUCGAAAAAGGCUGAACCCCCACAGGAAGGCGGGCCUGUCCUCCUCUUGGCCCAGGCCAGCUCCGAGCUCACUGCAGGGAAGGAGGCAAGCUCACUGCAAGACUGAAGAGAAGCAGGGGCGGGAAAGGAGUCCCUCUGCCCAGAUGCCCCAGGAGAGAAGCCCUGGCCUGCGUGUGCCUCUCAGGGCACUCUGGACUCUCCUGCCUGCAGAAGCAGGAUUUGGGUAGAAUGGGCCAUGGUGGGCACCCAUGUUACCUGGGAAAAGUUAUUC